CAGUAGCCACGGUAAUACGGAGGGAGCUAGCGUUGUUCGGAAUUACUGGGCGUAAAGCGCACGUAGGCGGCUUUGUAAGUUAGAGGUGAAAGCCUGGAGCUCAACUCCAGAAUUGCCUUUAAGACUGCAUCGCUUGAAUCCAGGAGAGGUGAGUGGAAUUCCGAGUGUAGAGGUGAAAUUCGUAGAUAUUCGGAAGAACACCAGUGGCGAAGGCGGCUCACUGGACUGGUAUUGACGCUGAGGUGCGAAAGCGUGGGGAGCAAACAGGAUUAGAUACCCCUGUAGUCCCUGUCUCUUAUAC
rnacentral:rRNA from 1 species